rnacentral:rRNA from 1 species
AGAAUCAACGCUGGCGGCGUGCCUAACACAUGCAAGUCGAACGAGAAAGUGGAGCAAUCCAUGAGUAAAGUGGCGCACGGGUGAGUAACACGUGACUAACCUACCCUUGAGUGGGGGAUAACCUAGAGAAAUCUGGGCUAAUACCGCAUAAUACCUUCGGGUCAAAGGAGCAAUUCGCUUAAGGAGGGGGUCGCGGCCGAUUAGUUAGUUGGCGGGGUAAUGGCCCACCAAGACUAUGAUCGGUAUCCGGCCUGAGAGGGCGCACGGACACACUGGAACUGAAACACGGUCCAGACUCCUACGGGAGGCAGCAGUGGGGAAUUUGCGCAAUGGGGGAAACCCUGACGCAGCAACGCCGCGUGGAGGAUGAAGUCCCUUGGGACGUAAACUCCUUUCGAUCGGGACGAUAAUGACGGUACCGAGAGAAGAGCCCCGGCUAACUUCGUGCCAGCAGCCGC